UACGGGGGGGGUAAGCGUUGUUCGGAAUUACUGGGCGUAAAGGGCUCGUAGGCGGCCAACUAAGUCAGACGUGAAAUCCCUCAGCUUAACUGGGGAACUGCGUCUGAUACUGGAUGGCUUGGAUUCGGGAGAGGAAUGCGGAAUUCCAGGUGUAGCGGUGAAAUGCGUAGAUAUCAGGAGGAACACCAAUAGCGAAGGCAGCUCGCUGGGACGUUACUGACACUAAGGCGCGAAAGCGUGGGGAGCGAACAGG
rnacentral:rRNA from 1 species